GGAGUGGUAGUCCAGUCGGUUAGAAUACCGGCCUGUCACGCCGGGGGUCGCGGGUUCGAGUCCCGUCCACUCCGCCA
rnacentral:tRNA from 1 species